UGUUACAAUGGCAGGUACAGAGGGGUGCUACCGGGUGACCGGAUGCCGAUCUCGAAAACCUGUCCCAGUUCGGACUGGAGUCUGCAACCCGACUCCACGAAGUUGGAUUCGCUAGUAAUCGCGCAUCAGCCAUGGCGCGGUGAAUACGUUCCCGGGCCUUGUACACACCGCCCGUCAAGCCAUGGGAGCCGGGGGCGCCUGAAGUCCGGGACCGCGAGGACCGGCCUAGGGCGAAACUGGUGACUGGGGCUAAGUCGUAACAAGGUAGC
rnacentral:rRNA from 1 species